CCUACGGGUGGCUGCAGUGGGGAAUAUUGGACAAUGGGCGAAAGCCUGAUCCAGCCAUGCCGCGUGUGUGAAGAAGGCCUUCGGGUUGUAAAGCACUUUCAGUGGGGAAGAAAGCCUUGGGGCUAAUACCCUCGAGGAAGGACAUCACCCACAGAAGAAGCACCGGCUAACGCCGUGCCAGCAGCCGCGGUAAUACGGAGGGUGCGAGCGUUAAUCGGAAUUACUGGGCGUAAAGCGCGCGUAGGCGGUCUGAUAAGCCGGUUGUGAAAGCCCCGGGCUCAACCUGGGAACGGCAUCCGGAACUGUCAGGCUAGAGUGCAGGAGAGGAAGGUAGAAGUCCCGGUGUAGCGGUGAAAUGCGUAGAGAUCGGGAGGAAUACCAGUGGCGAAGGCGGCCUUCUGGACUGACACUGACGCUGAGGUGCGAAAGCGUGGGUAGCAAACAGGAUUAGAUACCCCUGUAGUC
rnacentral:rRNA from 1 species